UCAAAUCAUCAUGCCCCUUAUGUCCUGGGCUACACACGUACUACAAUGGCCGGAAACAACGGGGAGCGAAGCCGCGAGGCGGAGCAAAUCCUAUUAAAGCCGGUCUCAGUUCAGAUUGCAGGCUGAAACUCGCCUGCAUGAAGUCGGAAUUGCUAGUAAUCGCGAAUCAGCAUGUCGCGGUGAAUACGUUCCCGGGUCUU
rnacentral:rRNA from 1 species